GCACAAGAACUGGCAUGAACCGCCUCCAGAAAGAAUGUUAUGAAGUUGCCACAUACUCACAUGCUGGCAAACGGAGCAGACUUGAUCUCCAUCUGAGCCUAGUAACUGCCUUUCAUCCUCGUCAGCACAGCUCUGCUUCUGAAGUGACUUAUUUUAUCCUAACCGUGUGAUCCGAGGUUUGUGUCCCUUUUACCUGAGCAUCCAUGAUGCAGGUGAGAAGCAGGUGUGUUUUGGACAAUCUGGAUUGCACAAAGUGAUCUUUCUCAGUGACUGCUUUAAAUUGCCCCCCAACAAGGCCUGGAGAGAACAGAAAGAUACAGGAGGAGUGUAUCCUUAAGCUCUAUUCGCUUAAGCUGGGACAUCCAUCGUCUCCUGUCUUCUGACUUUGGUGCUCAAGGACGUUGGACUCGGACUGAAUUAUGUCACAGGUUUUCCUGGUUGUCCAGCUUGCAAAUGGCAGAGGGUGGAACUUCUCAGCCUCCAUAAUCAUCCUACAAUUUACUGGUUGCGGCUGGAAGUGUGGCAUGCCUGGGAAUCUGAGCACACAAGACUGCUCUCCAUGCUUCCAAAGGCACACGGUUAGAGGAGCUGAUUGGAAGCCACGUUUUAGGUUAUGAAACUUACAGACAGGUCUUCGAGGUCCCAGCUCCUCACUCCCCGGCAUAUGGAACUUCUCUGACCAGGGAUUGAACCCAUAAUCUCACAGUGAAAGCAUGGAGUCUUAACCACUGGACCACCAGGGAAGUUCUAUAAUUGAAAAUUCUUUCUUUCUCCCUCCCCACCCCACUUUCUCUUUUUCUCUCCUUACCUUAGCAUGACACUUAGAAAGUAUCUGAAUAAAAGUCUAGUGAAAUAGGAAGUAAAUGACUAACAAGCACAGAAGUGUUGGCUUCUAUAUUCUUGUCACUUAAGAAGUGACAUUAUGCAGAAUAGGGUAGUGGUUACAUGCAUAGGCUUUGGGACCAGACUAUCAUGAUUUGACUUCUAACCUCACCAUGUCCCCACAAAUUACCUUUCUGUGC
ensembl:lncRNA